GACCGAGGGGGCAAGCGUUGCUCGGAAUCACUGGGCGUAAAGGGCGCGUAGGCGGGAUGGCAAGUCAGUCGUGAAAUCUCUCGGCUCAACCGAGAAACGUCGGCUGAUACUGCCGUUCUUGAGGGAUGCAGAGGAGACUGGAAUUCCCGGUGUAGCGGUGAAAUGUGUAGAGAUCGGGAGGAACACCGGUGGCGAAGGCGGGUCUCUGGGCAUUUCCUGACGCUGAGGCGCGAAAGCGUGGGGAGCAAACGGG
rnacentral:rRNA from 1 species